GCAGCAUGAGUUGUGCAUUUCCAGACCAGAACAAUUAGAGGGCAAAGAGCUCCACCUUCUGACUCAAAAGACAUGAUGGGAGCCUUCUGCUCUCCCGGCACCAGCUCAAAGCUGGGCCAUGCUGCCAUGGCACUGCAGGAAGCGGGAGCCAGGCACUGCCUGGGCACGUUGUGUGACAUGAUUCAGUGCUCACCAGAGAGCAGCGGCCUCCCUGCUGCAGAGCUGUGCUCACUGGCAACCUUGCAGUCAGCCUCAGUGAAGAUGCCAGAAGUCUGAACAGGAAAGGGGCUAAAAUGACCCCCUCCCCUCCUGGCAGCAGCUUCUCCUGAACAAAUAUUUGUGAAGCUGCUUCGGAACGAACCUAGUGUCAUUUCUGCCAGUGAUCACAAUUUUGAGUCCAAAAUAGUAGUGUGUGGAACAUCUGAUGACAUUAAAAUGCAGUUGUGAUCUAAACCUCAUAGACUCUUAAGCUGCCUACAAUUUAAGUGCAGUCAUGCUGGUGCCUGAUUUCAGACUAACUAGCUUCCCAGCCUUUGGUAGCAAGCCAUCCCUUGUCGUUUUGUUCACUUCUUGUAAUUUCCUUGCUAUUCUCUCCCUAGUAAACUAUCA